UUCUUCUUAUCCUCAUGAAUAUGACUGUUUGGGUGUCCUUGGAUGUAAAAAGCUAUAAAUCUGUUAAGAUUGCUUUGUACUCCGAUGCCAUCCACAUGGUCUGACGACAAGAAGA
rnacentral:pre_miRNA from 1 species